UUUACAAUGGUUUUACAGCCACCGCGUUGCAUCAUGGGAUCUUCGCGGUCUGAAUUUUGAAUUUUUAGGCGGUUAGUUCUAAACGUACAUUCUGGGAGUAAGCCGUCAUUCAAGAAGACGGAAAAGAAGCAAUUCUGGGACGAAGUGAGCUGACCGAAUUCCUAUCCAGGAGAAGCUGCCAGAUGCCGUAGACAACAGGAGUCAGAACAUCAUAGUACUUCCAACAGCAGAAGACACCAGGAGUGGGGAAGGUUCUGGAUGCUUAUGUCUGAUGUGGUGACCAUAGACCUCCAUUAUAUGACUGGCAGAAUGAUG